CAGUAGCCGCGGGAAAACGUAGGUGGCAAGCGUUGUCCGGAAUUAUUGGGCGUAAAGGGCUCGCAGGCGGUUUCUUAAGUCUGAUGUGAAAGCCCCCGGCUCAACCGGGGAGGGUCAUUGGAAACUGGGAAACUUGAGUGCAGAAGAGGAGAGUGGAAUUCCACGUGUAGCGGUGAAAUGCGUAGAGAUGUGGAGGAACACCAGUGGCGAAGGCGACUCCCUGGUCUGUAACUGACGCUGAGGAGCGAAAGCGUGGGGAGCGAACAGGAUUAGAUACCCCCGUAGUCCCUGUCUCUUAUAC
rnacentral:rRNA from 1 species